GGGCGCUUAGCUCAGGGGGAGAGCACUUCCUUGACACGGAAGGGGUCGUAGGUUCAAAUCCUACAGUGCCCACCA
rnacentral:tRNA from 1 species